rnacentral:rRNA from 1 species
UACGUAUGGGGCGAGCGUUAUUCGGAUUCAUUGGGCGUAAAGCGUAUGUCGGGGGCUUGUUAAGUCGAGGGUGAAAUUUUCAGGCUUAACCUGAAAACUGCUCUCGAUACUGGCAGGCUAGAGUUCGAAAGAGGAGAUUGGAAUUCCAGGUGUAGGGGUGAAAUCUGUAGAUAUCUGGAAGAACACCAGUGGCGAAGGCGAAUCUCUGGUUCGAAACUGACCCUUAGAUACGAAAGCCAGGGGAG